UGCAUGCUUAUCCACGACCAGGUAGCCGGC
rnacentral:piRNA from 1 species